rfam:Glycine max cultivar Williams 82 chromosome 11, whole genome shotgun sequence.
UCUCUGUGAUGAUGAAAACGAUGACGAGUCUGAUAAUCCAUUCUUUACAAUACUGACGACAAAUCGAGGCAUUUGUCUGAGAGGA